rnacentral:rRNA from 1 species
CCUACGGGAGGCAGCAGUAGGGAAUCAUCCGCAAUGGGCGAAAGCCUGACGGUGCAACGCCGCGUGAGUGAGGAAGGUUUUCGGAUCGUAAAACUCUGUUGUUAGGGAAGAACAAGUACCGUUCGAAUAGGUCGGUACCUUGACGGUACCUAACCAGAAAGCCACGGCUAACUACGUGCCAGCAGCCGCGGUAAUACGUAGGUGGCAAGCGUUGUCCGGAAUUAUUGGGCGUAAAGCGCGCGCAGGCGGUCCUUUAAGUCUGAUGUGAAAGCCCACGGCUCAACCGUGGAGGGUCAUUGGAAA